CGGGGGGGCCUUUGUCAUCGGAUCAGCUUUCAGCGUCGUAUACCAUAACUAUCUUACCUCCGUAGCAGCUGAGGCCAACGUCGUCGCCGUGUCCAUCGAGUACAGGUUGGCUCCAGAGCACCCUAUCCCCGCAUGCUUCGAUGAUUCCUGGGCAGUAACAAAAUGGGUCGCCUCCCAUGCCAAUAGACAAGGCCCCGAACCCUGGUUCAACAAUCACGCCGACUUUUCAAGGGUGUUUUUGGCAGGUGACAGCGCCGGAGGCAAUAUUGCACAUUACAUGGCGGUCAAAGCCAGCCGAGAAGGGUUGGGGGAUGGUGUGAAGCUUGUGGGGUUGAUUUUAGCGCAUCCAUAUUUUGGCAAGGGAGGGCGUGAAGAAUUAUGGGAGUACAUCACUUCAGAUUUCAAAGGGUGGGAUGAUCCAAGGCUUAAUCCCAUGGCGAGUUCUGGAUUGUUGUCGGGCCUUUUGUGCGAGAAGAUUCUGUUGUGUACAUCGGAGACAGAUUUCAUUCGAGAUCGGAGUUUGCAUUACAGUGAGGCGCUGAAGAAGAGCGGAUGGAGGGGUGAAUUGGAGGUUGUGGAUGUUGAAAAGGAGGGCCAUGUUUUUCAUAUACUGAAUCCAAGUGGCGACAAUGCUGGAAUCUUGAUGAAACGCCUGGUUUCAUUCUUGGGAAAUUAGGCCCCGAUGAUGCUGUUUUGAUUUUCAGUUUGCUGCCUGCCGUCGUCCGUACGUUACUUUAAAGUUUCAAUGCAAAAAAAAAAAAGUACCGCCUUUCUUUCUAAAGCCUUGUACUACCAGUCACGGAUACAAACCCAUUGCUGCGUGUUUCUCGCAUCCGGUCUGCCUCAGUCCAGCAUGCCUAGUACUAUUAAGCGCCAUUUGGUUGCGAUAACUUAUUAAAAAGCACUUUCUAAUAGAAUUUUUAAUAAAAAUAGUUAUCAACUGCUUAAAUGCUUUUGAAUAUAUUAUUUAAAAAUAUAAUUCAAUAAGUACUUAUUAUAUUUAAUAACGUGUAAUUUUAAAAUUUUUAAAAACGUAUAUCACAAUAUUUGGUUCAUAAUAUAGGAUGAGAUGAUUAAAUUUGAUAUUUUAUUUUUUAAAUCAUAAAAAUUACUCUAAAAAGCAUAAAAUUUGAGUUUGUUAAAAGUACUUUUAACACCAAAAGUUCUAUUCCUAAUUUUAUGAAAUGAUUUUCAGUAAACAUUUUAAAAAUACUUUUAACACUUAAAAGUACUUUUUUACUAAAAUCCGAAACGGGGCCUAAUGAUGAUUCCACGAAAGGAGUUAGAAACUUCCACAAGCUGGAAAUUAGCAGCACUAGCUUUCUCGUGUCUUCAUCGGCGGUCAUUUUUGUUUUGUGAGGGGUUGUUCGAGUCUAUUCAUUAGGGCCAUACAAGUUACAUUAAUAUUUUUACUCAAACUAUACGAUAUAGAUUUUUAUGGCAACCAUUAGCUGGCUAAUCCAAUUUCCAUUGCAAAAAAAAAAAAAAAAAAUUGUUCUACUUAUAUCAUUAACAUAAUUUUCAGUCUUUUUUUUUUUAAAUUUUACAUAUAUUACAUCAAAAAAAUACUACGAUAUUAUUUAAGAUAUUUUUUCUAAAUAAUUUCCUAUCCAAACGGAGCCAUUAUUGUUUCCUGCUUGGAAGACUAACACCAGUCUUUGCUGGAGCACAUGGCCGGAGUUUUUGUUAGCAUAACACCAGAAUGACAGAAAGACUGUACUAGAGUGUCUUCAAUUUUAAGCCUAAGACCAGCCCCGUAGUCGCAAGUGAUAGAAAUAGUCGUAGUUUAUAACCAUGGUUAGAAAUUGCCAUGAGUUCCUCUUCAUUAAGCUCCGGUUUUAAAGGGCAAUCAAUUUGGUAGGAUUGGGCUGGGUUGGGUAUUCUGCUAGUCAACUGCCGUCAAUUGUUUAUUUGUUGUGAUAGCUACUAGUCGUUCAGACCCCGCGGGCACCUAACUUCUGGGAAGCAUUUGGUGACAUGAUAUGUCAAAGUUUUCAAUAUUGGAGGGCUAAAUUAUUUAGUCUCCAGAAUAUUCUAGGUGUUCCAUCUUAGAUUUUUUGUUAGCUGUCUUGAAAAUUUUUCUGAAACUGAAAUUGAACUCAUUUUGGGAAAAUAUCAAGACACCAAAUUCAUCGCCCUGAAUAUCAACCACUAAACAAACAAUUGGUAUUUAACCAGAACUAUAUUAUGUGGAGUGUGGAUUAGUGUGUAGAUGUGUCGUCAAAUGCUAGCAAGAAGAUGAAUGUUGGCAUACCAAACUCAUCACCCUGCCUGAAUGUUAAACACUAAAGGUGGUAGUUAACCAAGAAUAUAUAACCACCAGCCACCAAGAAUAUAUAACCACUAGACUAAACUAGGCCACCACCAAAUCCUUAAGUCCACCGUCAAAUCCUUAAAGCUUGAUGAGGUGGUGAUCCCUUGACCUCCUACCAGUUCCCACAAUAUGUGGCUUCUCUAGACAAAUUCAGAUGGAUGCGUAGUGCACCCAUUUGAUGCGAUAGUAAUUCAGUCACCAUCGGCUUCCUGUAAAUUUAACUGGGCUUCCCCUUAAAUUAUGAUAGAAUAGAAUUAUAUAGAUAAAAUGACGAUUGAAAAAAAAAACCAAGAAUAUAUUUUGUGGAUUAGUAUACUAUUUCUUGUCGAAUGAUAAACGUUGUUAUUAAUCCGAGCCCCAUUAAAAGUCGAUCCACCUCCAAAGAGUCAAACCCCUGUUUAGAAAUUAGGCCUUUAACUAAGGUCGCUACAUUCUUCCAAAAUGCUUUGGGUACCCGUACUUCCCCUUUUACUGAUGAGGAACUCGAACCUAGAGGUGUUCACGAAUCGAGUCGAUCACGAGCGGCUCGAGUACGAGUUCGAGUCGAGCUCGAGUUCAAAAAUAUUAAGCUCGUUGGCUUGCGAGCUCAAUUAUAUAUUUUUUUAUUUUUAUUUUAUAUUUUAAUAGUAAAAUUACACAUAUAUCCCUAAUAGUUUAUUAUUUGUUAAAAAAUUAUUAUUUUAUUUAUUUUUAAAAAUAAUAUAAAUAUUUUUAUUUUUCAAAAAAAUUUUAUUAUUAUUUUAUUUUAUUUUUUAAGCUCGAGCUCGAACUCGACGCGAAUUUGAAUUGAGCUCGAGCUCGAGCUUGAUAUUUUGAGCUCGUCGAACUCGAGGUCGAGUUUGAGUUUCACAAAAUUAACUAAAGGUUCGUCUCGAUUAGGCCAAAGUUCAGCUUGACUCGGUUCGUUUGCACCCAUACUUGAACCUGCGUUCCACUAAAGCCCAAUUAAGUUUUAAGCUUUGAAGUUAAUAAUUUGCAAAAAUAAAAUUUAAAAAAAUCUUGAAAAUAGCAAGUGAUGAUUUUACUACGUUUCUCCGUUCAACUAGAGGUCACCUUUUUUUUUUUUGAAACUUCAAUUAGAGGUCACUUAAACCUCAAGAAAUAAGGAUUUACCUUUAAAAUGCUUGGAUAUUCUUUUUUAAGAAUAUGCAAAAAAAAAAAAAAACAUUGAUCUAGGUUUGUUUGGAUAGUGCUUUUAUCCCAAAUUUUUCAAUCACCUUUUUAUAUCACAUACAUCACAUCAUAAAAAGUGCUACAGUAAUUAUUCAAAAUAAUAUUUCAAAUAAUACAUUAUCCAAACAUAAGCCUAGGAUUUGUUUGGAUAGAGUAUUAUUUGAAAUAUAUUUAAAAUAAUUAUUAUAAUAUUUUUUAUGAUGUGAUGUAUGUGAAAUAAAAAGAUAGUUAAAAAUAUAAAAAAAUAAAUUAAAAAUUUUAUUUAUGAUGCAAGCGAAACAGUUCUAGUAUGCUACUUUCUCAUCUCAAUUUAUUUGUUAUGUCUCUCAAAAAUUAAAAUUUUCAAAAAUAAUGAUUUGAUUGUGAUGUAUCGGAAUGGAGGAUAUUUAUAGUCCCAAAUAAAUGUUACAUCUGUAGGGGAGCCAUGGGCCGACUCCUAGGCGUUUGGCAUUUGUCACGUGUCAGAGGUUUGAAGCCAAAUCCGUGCGUUAGAUCAGCAAGCGAUGGCUUGACAAGGCCGAGAUCUAGCUAUUAUAUUGCAAUUCCAAGCUGGCUCCAAAUAGUAGGUGGCGUCUUUCUCAUGGUCAUUCAUCGUUACUUUUGGGAGAUAUCCCGUUUGGUGAAAACAUCUACCUUGUAUAUAAGAAAAGAGCAAGGUUUAGUGUUUGCCUUUAUUCUUGUCACGUGGCUUUUUCAUUGUCUGACAAGUGGCAAGGUAAAAUAUUUUCUACAAGUUGUCUGAAGCCUUGUCUGAAGCAUUCUCUUGCUUCUGGCAUUGGACCGUUUCUUUUCUUUCUCAUUAGUACACUAGCCAGUAGUCACUCAGAGCAGUUGCGUGACCCAUGAAAACAAUACCAAAAGCCGCAGCCCGCAUUUUACCAUGAAAAUAAUUUUUUUUUAUCAUAAAUUUUUAAGUUUUCUGUGAACAUGUUUUUUAAUUAUCUUUUUAUCGCACAUGUCUAUCUUGUAUAUAAAAAGAAAUCCAAGAUACUGUAGCUAACCAUUUUUUUGACACAUAUAUUGCAUGUAUUUUUGACAAGUGGACUUUUGAUUAUUUUACCUAAAUUUUUCCUUCCCUUUUUUGAUUCAAUUGGGUUAAAGGAUUAAAAUAUUUUUUCUCAUUGAGAAAAUUAACUCCAUCUCUUCUUUUACUUCUUGCAGUAACUACUGUCAUCUCUCACCUUUUUUAUUUUUUAUUUUUUUAAACUAAUCUAACUAAGAUUGUUGCCAUGUUCUUUUUUUUUUUUUUUUUGGCAAGAUGAUAGCUACUUAGCAAAAAGAAUUCUUUAUUAUUUUUAUCCCAUUUUACAUUUUCUUUUCUUCCUUUUUUCUUCAUCUCUAAUGUCUCAUGUUUGCUCUAUUUUUUUAUCAUAAUAUUAUAGCCAACUGGCAUUUGUUUGUUAAAUUUAUAGGAUGAUGUUUUUAUUUUAGAGUUCUUCAUGGAUAAAAGGUGAAUUAUUAAAAUAUCUUAGAAUUCAUUUUAUACCAAUGAUCAUUUUCUAAGAAUAAUAGAACAAAAAUUCAUUCUUUUAUUUUCUCCUCCCAUGAUUUGAUUUCUGACUUCACAUUUUGUUUCCUUUUCUUUGUUUUUUUGGUUCCAUUUUGUAAUUUUCUACAAUUUUGUGUAUUUUUUUAGGAGAAAGAUAUAUCAUAUGAUGUUUCCAUCAAGAUAAAUCUAGUUAGGCAUUCUUGUAUCUCCAUUUUUCUCCAUUUCUUUCUUUUUGCAAUUAUUUUAUGGCCUAUUCAAUUUAAUUGAAGGAUCCAAUAAAAUUUUGUAUAUAUUUAAUCUAAAGUUAAUUUUUGUUUGUUUUUUAAGUACUCUAAGUGUUGUAGUAUCAAUUGGGUUGGUAUUCAAGGAUUGCAGUCGGUGGUGGAAGUCACAAUUGAGGCUUUCAGCCUAGAGUGUGACUUGACAAAAAAUUGUUAGAAAAUUCAAAUUUGAUUAGGAAGAUGGUUUUGCAAUAAAAAAUAGUUCAAUUCUAAUUUGUAUAUGUAGAUCAAGAAACAUAGCAAUUCAUAUUUUUAUCUAAUCUUGUUAUUUAUAUUCUGGAGCUGCAGGAUAAUGUUGUCACCUUUAGACGGAAUUUAAAUAGAUGAACUGGAUUCUUCUAUCAAAAGAAAGAAAAAUAUGAAAGUUUAUAGUAAACUAUAUUGAUGUUGAAGAUUGUGCUAUGUUUUAGCAGCUUCCUAAACUUUUUCUCAUUAUUAAAGUACUAAAAGUAUUACGACUGCUUUUGAUUUAAUUUUAACUAAAACUAUACUACUAUUAAUACAUCAAUGCACUUAUAGUGUAUUAAUUUUCUCUCCAUUUUGGGUAUUAUAUAAUGGUGGUUCAAAAAUAUUUAUUCAAAUGAUAAUAAAUAGGGAGGUUGAAUUGAGGCUUUCGGCCUAGAGUGUGAUUUGACAAAAAAUUGUUAGAAAAUUCAAUUUUGAUUAGGAAGAUGAUUUUGCAAUAAAAAAUAGUUCAAUUCGAAUUUGAAUGUGUAGAUCAAGAAACACAGCAAUUCAUAUUUUUAUCUAAUCUUGCUAUUUAUAUUUUGGAGCUGCAGGAUAAUGUUGUCACCUUUAAACGGAAUUUAAAUAGAUGAACUGGAUUCUUCUAUCAAAAGAAAGAAAAUAUAUGAAAGUUUAUAAUAAGCUAUAUUGAUGUUGAAGAUUGUGCCAUGUUUUAGCAGUUUCCUAAACUUUUUCUCAUUAUUAAAGUACUAAAAGUAUUACGACUGCUUUUGAUUUAAUUUUAACUAAAACUAUACUGUUAUUAAUACAUCAAUGCAUUUAUAGUGUAUUAAUUUUCUCUCCAUUUUGGGUAUCAUAUAAUGGUGGUUCAAAAAUCUUUAUUCAAAUGACAAUAAAUAGGGAGGUUGAAUUCAUAGAUGGGAUUUCUCUUUACAACAAAUUUUGAGAGAAAUUUUAUUUAUUCUCCAUAUUUUGUUAAUUGUAUCCCUACAAUAAACAAAAGCUAUAUGAUAAAAAUAAUAGCGGAAGUAUGAUUAAUAAAAAUGAGAGUUCAAAUAAUAUUUGUCAAUUUUAAUUGCUUUGAUGCUCAAUUUUUCUCCUAUAUUUCUAUUCAUUCAUCAUGUGACAAAAUAAUUUGAUGCCAUACAUUCGACUAAACUUCUAGGGAAUCCAAACUGUGCUUUACACAGUUCAAGUACCUCUAGUAUGAAGUAUAAAACGUCAAGAAAUUACCCGACGUUCAGCGCCUAUUCGUAUCGUAUCCUACUCCUGCCACUUUAUCAAUGGCCUCUAGAUAUUUUUCGAUUUUCGAUUUUUAAUUAAGCUAAGCCUGUGCUGCAGCUGAGUCCUAGUGUUUGUUGCUGAUAUUUUUCGAUUUUCGAUUUUCAAUUAAGCUAAGCCUGUGCUGCAACUGAGUCCUAGUGUUUGGAUUGUGAUUUAUUUGCCAAAAUAUAUUUGCUUACAUCAUUAUUACAAUUUCCAACACACCUUUUUAUCUUCCCAAUUACCUUUUUAUCUCACAUACAUCACAUCACAAAAAGUGAUACAGUAAAAAUAUCUCUUAUAAUUCACAAUCCAAACAAAGCCACGCGUGGAAGACUAGUCUUGCAUUUUAUGACGUACAAGUAUGCAAUGAGGUGUUGAAGGGAAUGGAAAGGGCAGAUUGCAAAUCCUAGAAGAAAAUAUAUGUUCCUUUUGAAGGCCAAUUGCAAAGAUGCAAAUAGAUGUAACUGAUAAUAGGAUGUGUAAUUAUUCGAAUUUUCAUUUUUUGAAUUUAUUUCUUACAUAUGUUUUUCAAUUAUUUCUUUAUCUUUUCAAUCACUUUUAUAUAUAUAUCACUUUAUCUCAUAACGUUGUCUUUUAGUCACUUCACUCCCAUAAAUAAUUCAAGUCAAUAUAUUAAGAAAUUUUGAACAAAAAUAUCAAUUUAUUCUAUAGCAUUAUCACAUUGUUAUUAUCACUUCAUGUGACGACCCCACUUCUCCCAAGGGCGAACCCAAGGGUAUCGGCGGGCCGCCUGCCUAACUCGCGCCAGGACUCAAAACUUAAAACAAUCAAAGCCAGAAAAUUCAAAAGAGUACUAUAUACAAUCCCAAAAGAGUUAUAAUUACAUUCUCCAAAAGUAUCGAGUCAAACCACUCUAAUAUACUACAAUCACAACUAGCAGAAGAUAGACCCUAAGAAGGGUCCUUAUACAAACCACCAAAAUAAAAAAACAACAUCCUAACUGUUCAGCUAUUACAAGCCAAUCUAACUAUACUAGUAUACGAGCCAAAAGUCCCCGCGUCGGCCCCUGCUAAGGAAAACAAAAGGAAUGGGGUAAGCUAUAUGCUUAGUAAGUAAACAGGGGCGAAAGCAUAAAUUUCACGUAAUAGUUACACAAUAAGAGUAAAGCAAAAGCAGAAAAGUAACAUCACAUAAUAAGGAUACAGGUGGCUCCAAAGCCAACUCAUAUGCCAUGCGUGAUCUCCUGCCGACACUCCGUCGACUGCAAAUAAUAGUCCGUAGAACUUCACUUGUACACCCACCGACACCUUAUCACCCUCACUGGCCAGUCACCUCACAAACUUGCCCGGGCGAACGAAAUCACAAACUUGAGCUUGAGUCACAAGCUCGGGUCACAAACUUGGUCACCUUCUCGGUGAACCGAAUUCACAAAAUUGGUUCACAAAAUGAACCUACAAACUUGGUGACCUCAGACUAAGUUGGACUGCCUUCGACCAAGCCCUAACCGGCUCGAAUAGUCCAACCAGGUCAAGAGUUCGCCCCAAACUCACAAACUUCACAAAAUUAUUCAAAAUCACAAACUUUGCAAACUUCACAAACUUUAUUCGAAAGUCGCCCCGAGCCACAAGCUCAAGGGUUUUUGGUUCCAAAAGGUUCAUAUACAUAUGCCAAGUACAAUUAUACAUUCAAAUUAGGGUUUAGGUCGAGUGCGAUAAAGUACACCCUCGCCUAAGUGCCCUUUUCACAUAUCUCAAACACAUAGCAAAGAAAACACACCAAACUGGCCUGAAUACUUACUCAAAAUACCAAAAGCAGUACAAGAACAAAAUCGCUUCGCGCGUUUUCGCUAGUAGUGGGCCCCACUGGCUCCGCCUAACUCACCAUGGUCUGAAAUAGAAGAUUUUAUCACAUAAUAUCACAAACGACUAUUAACAGAUCCAAAACAAGCAAAACGGCAAAAUUGGCACACGAAAUUGCGGAAACGGCAAAAAGGGCGCACGCGCUCACGUAAACAUGACGAACGGAAACGGCAGAUUUGACACUCGUUUCUAGUUUACUCAUAAGUUGAGCUACGAAUAUCGGAUUAAGGCGUAUGAGACGCCAUAUCGAAGCUUAAAGGAUGAACAACAACUGUUAUGAAGACAUCCAGAACUGAAACUGGAGGCUUUAGUCCCAGAUGAACCAAACACAAUCACUUACGAAAUCUGGCCAAUGCACAAAUGGUCAGUUUUGAGUGCAAACUGUUUUCUAUGCUACACAUGGUCAAAAGAGCUGAAAAUUGGCAGUUAGAUAGUUCAUUCCAAAUGGAACAACUUUCAUGAAGGUCGGAAAUCCAAAUUCGGAACGAAAAUUGGUCAUCAGGACCAAAACAGAUCUGACCAGAAAAUGGUCAUUUUCACGGGCAAGCCUUGUUUGCUCGGCUAUAUCUCAGGUUUUAUAAAUCCGAUUCAUGAAAUUCCAAGGGCGUUAGAAAGCUCUGAUAUAGGGCUAUAAGUUUGGUGUUUUGGUCGCAAGCCCAAACAGUUUGUAACUCAGUCAAAUGUAAAGCUAAAGUUCCAGCCAUAAACUUUCCAAAAACGUACCAGAAUCACAAACCGUAUUUGAUCUCAAUAUGCGGUAAUGGCACCAAAUUCACUACGGUUAUCGGAUGGGGGUAUAAGACCCACCGUUUCAAAGCUAAGAAACAGGGGUACAAUAAUGUAGAAGGCCACUCAGUCCAAAUCCUAGUACAACUAGGUCAAAUAUGCAAAAUACAAAUCCAGAAUUACCAAAACAGGUUUGCAAAUCACAUAAAACUGUAAUGACUAUAACUCAGUCUAUACAAGUCCAAAUGCCGAAAUUCCAAAGGCAUAUGGUAGCUAAGACGUCCAGCUACAUUUCAUCAGAAGACACCAACAUCCAAAUCCAAACCAAUUCCAGUCAAAAUGGCCAAUUACCAGUACAGUUUUCGCAUUCUGUCCAAAGCAGAACAGCUACAGUAAUUCCGACAUAACUCACACUACACUAAUCCAAAUGACCUGAAAUUUUACAGGCACUUCAAACACAUCAAUACCUACAACUUUCAUGUUUUAAGCCAAGGCCAAUUCGGCUUCUAACCCAGAGAUACAAAACCGGACAGAAUUGAAGGGUAUGAAACCCUAACUUGCUAAUUUAUCUUCCAAACCAGAAAUUUGCUGCAAUUAACUACCAUUCACACCAACUAGCUUCAUUCCCAAUCAUUUCCAAUCAUCAUACAUAGCCACAUCAUAGUAAUCAUAUGCAACCAGCAAAAAUCCCAAAUAAAUAGAAAACUUCAUCAAUCUUGACUAAAAUCAAGAAAUAGUCCACAAAAUCACAGUUAUAACAACCACAAGUCAUUUAUGAAGCAUCUUUAGGUAGAAGAGAGGGGUUCCAUAGUCACUUACCUUAGAACCAAAGAAGAGAGACCACUUAACACCUUAAGUUUCCAACCAACUUCACCACACAACUCACUAUCACUCACUUAAGGGAUUUUAUGGAGAGGUUUCAAGUUUAAUCGGUUAGUUUGUUGAUUUGUGCAAGAUUGGAGCAUGAAAUUUGGAGAGCUUUUCCUUUCCUUUUGCUUGAUGUUGGUCGGCCACAAGAAGGAGAAGAAAUGGUGAAUUUUGGUCAAUUUUUGAGAUAUUUAUCUUUUGGUCAAAAAAAGUCAAGAAAGUGAAUAGUAAUUCUUAAGUCUUUUCCAAUGAAAUGGUGACACUUGUCACCACCAUUAAUGCAUUCCUAUCCUUUCUUUUCUCUCUCACAUCAAUCAUUUCACACACUCUACUUAUCUCUUAACACCCGAUAAAUUUUACACAGUAUCCGGAAUUUAACCUAAUUGGCCGAAUUUUUCCGAACUUUUCGCACUAGUGGGUCCCACGUCCAAUAUACGUUCUUAAUUUCUCAAAAACUAACUAAUACUAGAAACAACAUCUAAAAACUCUAUUUACUCAAUAAAAUUAUCUGGGGAAUUUUCUAAUAAAGAAAAUGUAGAAAAAACGGGUUUUCAAUCUUAACCGGAACUUAGGGUUUAAAUCUUAAUCCCUACUUAGGGUUUUCGAAAUACUUCCAAAACCAAACGUUACCGCCCAAUUAAUGAAUAUAUCAACGUAGAACGAAUUGGGGCCUCACAAUCUCCCCCACUUAGGACAAUUUCGUCCUCGAAAUUUCUAUGAACGGAAUCUAUCAAAUCUAAAGUAACCAGUAGCCUGUACCUUCCACGUUCUUAAAAGAAACGAGACUCUUCAUUCCAGUCCUGACUCUCGGCCUCGUUUUAUUCCACAGUUAUGACCAUGUCCGCGACUAUGUCUUCCUUCCACAUAUAUACACACAUAUAUAUAUAUAGUUUUCCCUUCUCUCUCUUUUCUUUCCAAAAAGGUACUUUAAUGAAUGAAUGCAGUAAAUUGACUACAAUAACAAAAUCCAACAUACCAAUUACACAAAUAACAUAUCACACAUAACACGCCAUAUCAAAAGACGGACAAGCAAGUAUACAAAUACAUAUCAAGUUGGACAGAUAAGCAUGUACACAAACACAUAUACUAACUUUAGGUGGUCGUAAUAUACGGGCGAACCAAAAGGAAAAGGUGAAGUCGUCCCAGUAUCAGACCGUCUGAUCUCUCACGUCCCUUACUAUCCAAACUAGAUGUCCGUUGACCUUUUGUACGCAUUCUAGUCAGGCAAAGCCUGUUCAUGUUUCCAAAAUACAAGUCUCAAGUACCUAGUAGCUUGCAUCGCCUCAAUUCUGGAGUAUUCGGGCACAAGAAUCCGAAAUAAGAUAGUUCACAUCUCGAGCUGGCCAGUCCCAAGAGUAAACCAUCUACAAAUCGAACUUCCUACCCGACAUACCUAUCUAUGGUUCUUAGAUACCAUGAGAAAGAUUGAAAACCUAUAACACUUCAGGGUUCAUAGCUUAUGCUCGAACGAGCACUUAAUCCUUCAUACCUAUUCACCACUCAACCCAAGCUCACUCCGCGCGGAGACCACGCGAAGCAGGCUCUAGGUUUUAUCCCUCAAUUGCUUGACUUUCAAAUCAAAUCAAAUCCCACAGUCCGGCAUCCUAAACUUCAAGCCUAGGAUACACUACAGGAAUCUGAAGCCUAAGCUCUGAUACCAACUGUGACGACCCCACUUCUCCCAAGGGCGAACCCAAGGGUAUCGGCGGGCCGCCUGCCUAGCUCGCGCCAGGACUCAAAACUUAAAACAAUCAAAGCCAGAAAAUUCAAAAGAGUACUAUAUACAAUCCCAAAAGAGUUAUAAUUACAUUCUCCAAAAGUAUCGAGUCAAACCACUCUAAUAUACUACAAUCACAACUAGCAGAAGAUAGACCCUAAGAAGGGUUCUUAUACAAACCACCAAAAUAAAAAAACAACAUCCUAACUGUUCAACUAUUACAAGCCAAUCUAACUAUACUAGUAUACGAGCCAAAAGUCCCCGCGUCGGCCCCUGCUAAGGAAAACAAAAGAAAUGGGGUAAGCUAUAUGCUUAGUAAGUAAACAGGGGCGAAAGCAUAAAUUUCACGUAACAGUUACACAAUAAGAGUAAAGCAAAAGCAGAAAAGUAACAUCACAUAAUAAGGAUACAGGUGGCUCCAAAGCCAACUCAUGUGCCAUGCGUGAUCUCCUGCCGACACUCCGUCGACUGCAAAUAAUAGUCCGUAGAACUUCACUUGUACACCCACCGACACCUUAUCACCCUCACUGGCCAGUCACCUCACAAACUUGCCCGGGCGAACGAAAUCACAAACUUGAGCUUGAGUCACAAGCUCGGGUCACAAAUUUGGUCACCUUCUCGGUGAACCGGAUUCACAAAAUUAGUUCAUAAAAUGAACCUACAAACUUGGUGACCUCAGACUAAGUUGGACUGCCUUCGACCAAGCCCUAACCGGCUCGAAUAGUCCAACCAGGUCAAGAGUUCGCCCCAAACUCACAAACUUCACAAAAUUAUUCAAAAUCACAAACUUUGCAAACUUCACAAACUUUAUUCGAAAGUCGCCCCGAGCCACAAGCUCAAGGGUUUUGGUUCCAAAAGGUUCAUAUACAUACGCCAAGUACAGUUAUACAUUCAAAUUAGGGUUUAGGUCGAGUGCGAUAAAGUACACCCUCGCCUAAGUGCCCUUUUCACAUAUCUCAAACACAUAGCAAAGAAAACACACCAAACUGGCCUGAAUACUUACUCAAAAUACCAAAAGCAGUACAAGAACAAAAUCGCUUCGCGCGUUUUCGCUAGUAGUGGGCCCCACCGGCUCCGCCUAGCUCACCACGGUCUGAAAUAGAAGAUUUUAUCACAUAAUAUCACAAACGACUAUUAACAGAUCCAAAACAAGCAAAACGGCAAAAUUGGCACACGAAAUUGCGGAAACGGCAAAAAGGGCGCACGCGCUCACGUAAACAUGACGAACGGAAACGGCAGAUUUGACACUCGUUUCUAGUUUACUCAUAAGUUGAGCUACGAAUAUCGGAUUAAGGCGUAUGAGACGCCAUAUCGAAGCUUAAAGGAUGAACAACAACUGUUAUGAAGACAUCCAGAACUGAAACUGGAGGCUUUAGUCCCAAAUGAACCAAACACAAUCACUUACGAAAUCUGGCCAAUGCACAAAUGGUCAGUUUUGAGUGCAAACUGUUUUCUAUGCUACACAUGGUCAAAAGAGCUGAAAAUUGGCAGUUAGAUAGUUCAUUCCAAAUGGAACAACUUUCAUGAAGGUCGGAAAUCCAAAUUCGGAACGGAAAUUGGACAUCAGGACCAAAACAGAUCUGACCAGAAAAUGGUCAUUUUCACGGGCAAGCCUUGUUUGCUCGGCUAUAUCUCAGGUUUUAUAAAUCCGAUUCAUGAAAUUCCAAGGGCGUUAGAAAGCUCUGAUAUAGGGCUAUAAGUUUGAUGUUUUGGUCGCAAGCCCAAACAGUUUGUAACUCAGUCAAAUGUAAAGCUAAAGUUCCAGCCAUAAACUUUCCAAAAACGUACCAGAAUCACAAACCGUAUUUGACCUCAAUAUGCGGUAAUGGCACCAAAUUCACUACGGUUAUCGGAUGGGGGUGUAAGACCCACCGUUUCAAAGCUAAGAAACAGGGGUACAAUAAUGUAGAAGGCCACUCAGUCCAAAUCCUAGUACAACUAGGUCAAAUAUGCAAAAUACAAAUCCAGAAUUACCAAAACAGGUUUGCAAAUCACAUAAAACUGUAAUGACUAUAACUCAGUCUAUACAAGUCCAAAUGCCGAAAUUCCAAAGGCAUAUGGUAGCUAAGACGUCCAGCUACAUUUCAUCAGAAGACACCAACAUCCAAAUCCAAACCAAUUCCAGUCAAAAUGGCCAAUUACCAGUACAGUUUUCGCAUUCUGUCCAAAGCAGAACAGCUACAGUAAUUCCGACAUAACUCACACUACACUAAUCCAAAUGACCUGAAAUUUUACAGGCACUUCAAACACAUCAAUACCUACAACUUUCAUGUUUUAAGCCAAGGCCAAUUCGGCUUCUAACCCAGAGAUACAAAACCGGACAGAAUUGAAGGGUAUGAAACCCUAACUUGCUAAUUUAUCUUCCAAACCAGAAAUUUGCUGCAAUUAACUACCAUUCACACCAACUAGCUUCAUUCCCAAUCAUUUCCAAUCAUCAUACAUAGCCACAUCAUAGUAAUCAUAUGCAACCAGCAAAAAUCCCAAAUAAAUAGAAAACUUCAUCAAUCUUGACUAAAAUCAAGAAAUAGUCCACAAAAUCACACUUAUAACAACCACAAGUCAUUUAUGAAGCAUCUUUAGGUAGAAGAGAGGGGUUCCAUAGUCACUUACCUUAGAACCAAAGAAGAGAGACCACUUAGCACCUUAAGCUUCCAACCAACUUCACCACACAACUCACUAUCACUCACUUAAGGGAUUUUAUGGAGAGGUUUCAAGUUUAAUCGGUUAGUUUGUUGAUUUGUGCAAGAUUGGAGCAUGAAAUUUGGAGAGCUUUUCCUUUCCUUUUGCUUGAUGUUGGUCGGCCACAAGAAGGAGACGAAAUGGUGAAUUUUGGUCAAUUUUUGAGAUAUUUAUCUUUUGGUCAAAAAAAGUCAAGAAAAUGAAUAGUAAUUCUUAAGUCUUUUCCAAUGAAAUGGUGACACUUGUCACCACCAUUAAUGCAUUCCUAUCCUUUCUUUUCUCUCUCACAUCAAUCAUUUCACACACUCUACUUAUCUCUUAACACCCGAUAAAUUUUACACAGUAUCCGGAAUUUAACCUAAUUGGCCGAAUUUUUUCGAACUUUUCGCACUAGUGGGUCCCACGUCCAAUAUACGUUCUUAAUUUCUCAAAAACUAACUAAUACUAGAAACAACAUCUAAAAACUCUAUUUACUCAAUAAAAUUAUCUGGGGAAUUUUCUAAUAAAGAAAAUGUAGAAAAAACGGGUUUUCAAUCUUAACCGGAACUUAGGGUUUAAAUCUUAAUCCCUACUUAGGGUUUUCGAAAUACUCCCAAAACCAAACGUUACCGCCCAAUUAAUGAAUAUAUCAACGUAGAACGAACUGGGGCCUCACACUUCAUCCCUUGAAAAUAUAGUGAUAUAAUAUCGCUUUAAUUUCUAACAUUAUUUUGUAGGCAUUUUAUUAUUGUUAAUCUAACUAGUAUGGUCCAAAUUUUUAAAAUAUAUUUAUCCUUUUUUUAUAUAUACUUAAAAAUAAAAAGUUGGGAUGAUUAUUCAUCCUUUUUCCACUUUAAGAGAUCUAAAAGUAUAAAACUAAAAAAAAAUUCUCAAAUUUCUUUUUUCAUACUUAUUAAUACUAGAAAAGAAAAAGGGAAUAUGAAAGAAGGAGACAGUAAAUUGAUUUUGUAAAGAAAGAAAAUAAUGAAGAGUCUAACAUUAUCGUAUUACUUUAAGGUUUUCGGGAUUAUGACUGGUAAAUAGAAAGGUGAAAUAAUUUUAAAAUAAUAAAAGUAUUUAAUUCUUUCUUAUUUGUAUUUUUAAGAAAAAAUAAUUGAACUCUUUCUCUCUCUCUCUCUCCUCCUUCCCAUCUUUUUAUUUAUUUUUUCAAUAUUAACAACAUUACCAAGAAGAAAGAGAUUAACACUUUAACUUUUUUUUUGUUGAUACUAAAAAGGAGAAGAAUUAUUCUAUUUUUUUUAUUAUUUUUAUUAUACAAAGAGGAAGGUACUUUUUUUCUAAAACUCUUUAAAUUACUAAGUUGAUUUAAUGGUGGAAUAAAUUGUCUAAAAAAUAAUUCUAGAGAGUAAAUUGAUAAUGAGGCUAUAGUUUAUGGGAUGGAGUGAUAAUAAUUUUAAUGGAUAAAUAUGUUUUUUCACUUUAAUUAAUAAACUCCGUUAAAUUUGACUAUUAGUCUUGAGAUAAAGUGACUAAAAGAUAACGUUAAUAGGGAAAUUGAUAGUGACACCAAACGUUAAGGAGGUAAAGUGAUAAUAAUCUUAUAUAUCCCGCCUAAAAGGUGCCACCAAAAUUAGCAUAAUUAUUUUUUUUCCCUCUACGCGUGCCAAGGUUACUACGUAUACAUCUUUUUUUUAUAUAAAAAUUAUUGUAUUUGUUGCGUCUAUUUUUCUGUUUUUUUUUUUUUUGAAUACCAUAUUUGUUGUGAUGAUGCUUAUACUGUAUAAUAAUAUAAUUGACAGGAACGAUUGCAAAAGUCCACAUGAGAUACCUUCCUCUCUCAAACAAUGGGAUUCGUGGCAGAUAAUUUGUCAUGGUCACAUUGUUUUUUUUUUUUUUCCUUCUUUAUUUUAACUUUUAAGACAUUAUUCGGUGUACAUCGGACAUUUGUUGCUCGAGUCACGUAUUGCCUUGGCAUGUUACUCCAGCAAUAUCAUUUCUAACCGCCAUAUAUGCCUCCUGUCAGUGUCUCAAUAGAAACGAAUAUACGGCCAUGGAUCAAAUAUUGCCAAAAAAAAAAAAAAAUUCCUGAGCAACGGCAUUGGUUUUUUUUUUUUUUUUUCUUCAAAAAAGGGCUGUCAUAAGUUAGCACGAUAGCCCAUCAUUUUUUUUAAUAAUUGUUGGGAUUGUCAUGCUGACUUAACACACGGCAAUCUAGGAAAUUUUUUUUAAAAAAAUAAAAUCAGACAUAUAGUUUUAAACAUCAAUUCUUUCAAAGUCACAUUUGUUGAAAUUUUUUAUUUUUAUUUUUGACAAUUUUUUGAGGAAUUAGCUAGAUUAAAUUGAAAAUGACACGUAGAUCCACGUCUCAAGGCAAAUGACCAUAUGUCCGUAAAUCAAUCGAAAAUGACGCGACGAGCAUAACCUCACACUUCACCAUGGCAAAAAUAGAAUAGGGAAGACGACAAGGAAAUACAGCAAUAAUGCCUUAGUAUAAUCAUUAAUCACGACUCUCCUUCUUGCUACAUGCUGGCCAAUAAUAUGCCUUACCAAACCACCUUAUUUGUUUUUUUUUUUUUUAUUAUCAAGGAAUCUUUUGAAUAAAUACCUCGUACGAUGAAUGAGUCUAUGAAUUAUGAAAUCUCCCGUGCAAUAAUUUCGUUUUUUCCCCUUCUCCCACACUCUGCUCUUUGUAGUUGGUUCACCAUGGCUACUAACUCAAAUGAGAUUCUUCAUGAUUUUUCUCCCUUAAUCCGCAUCUAUAAAGAUGGUCGAGUCGAAAGAUUGGAGGGGGAAGACACUGUCGCUGCAUCAAUCGAUCCAGAAACCCGAGUUGAAAGUAAAGAUAUCGCGAUGGCACCAGAAUUCAAUAGUGUCUCUGCCAGGCUUUACCUACCCCAAAACGCCAAACCGGGUCAUAGAAUUCCACUUCUAGUCUAUUUUCAUGGCGGUGGAUUUGUCGUGGGAUCUGCCUUUUCUCCUGUUUAUCAAGAACAUCUUAAUUCACUAGUAGCGGAAGCUAAUGUUAUUGUUGUAUCCGUCAAUUAUCGACUAGCCCCAGAACACCCUCUCCCUAUUGCAUAUGAAGAUUCAUGGCUGGCCCUCAAGUGGAUCGCUUCUCAUUCAAAAUCAGGCGAUGGCCCGGAGGAGUGGCUCAAGAAUUAUGCUGAUUUUGAUCGCGUGUACUUCGGUGGGGACAGCGCUGGCGGUAACAUCGCGCACAACAUGGCCUUCAGGUUUGGCAUAGAGGAAUUGCAUGGCGUCAAUCUUAAUGGGAUUUUUCUAAAUUGUCCUUACUUCUGGGGAAAUGAUCCUAUAGCUAAUGAAGCAGGGAGGAAAGGUGAGAAGAACUUUCUCGACAACCUCUGGUUUUGCAUAUGUCCCAGUACGACAGGGCUGGAUGAUCCACGGCUAAAUCCCGCGGCGAAUCCUAUGAUUUCCAGGCUAGGCUGCAAAAGGGUGCUGGUUUAUGUUGGCGGCAAAGAUGUGCUGAAGGACAGAGGCUGGUACUACAAAGAAGCAUUGGAGAAGAGUGGAUGGGCUGGAGAAGUAACGGCUGUAGAGGUUGAAGGGGAAGAACAUGUCUUCAAUUUGUCUUCCCCCAGGGGAGCGAACUCUCUGUCGAUGAUAAAAGAUUUGGCUCGUUUCCUAAACCGCAAUUGAGUGUAAAGGAUACCAAUCUGAAGCAACAUCCUAGCAAGACUAUUACUGUAUCUUUCAAGCAGGAAGAAGCAAGUGGAAAUGUCUCUUAAAAGGGGGAAAAAACACGAAAAAAAACUCUAAUCUUCUGAAAGAUACUAAAGUUUUUGUUUCUAUCUAUGGUUUGGAAGUUGCACUUGGGGUAACGAAUAAGAAUCCUUCUUCUUCUUUACCAAACUUGAGGGAAUUCAGUAAAGCAAGUCUUAAUAUAUAGUUAACAUCGAACUUGCCUUUUACCUUGUCAUCAUUACAAUAAAUCAAUCAGCGCAGUUCCCACCAAGGAGAUGAGCAAAAUAUGAGGUAGAGCGCUUAAUUAGAAAAAAUUUGUCAUUGCUUUUGGUUUGGAUGAAUUACACGCUUCGAAAUCAUACGUAAAUAACCAGUGUUAAAAGAGGAGGGAAAAAGAAGGAAAUUCCAAUGUAACUAAAAGAAAGGGAAAUAUAUAUUAUUGUUUCAAAAAACGAAAGAAGGGAUAAACUAACUAAAAAUUAAUUAGGGGAGGCAAAAUGUGACUGUUUCUGUAGUUUACAGAAAAAAAUUGCAAUUUAACAUAUAAAAUCAUGCUUUUGUUUCCAGCUACCAUUAUUGACUUUUGUCAUUAUUAAGGUGUUUUUAACUGAACUUGACUAGUAGCACAUGAACAGGCCCUAAAAUUGUUAUAAUCUUUUUUUUUUUAAAUAAAAACUAAAUUGCUACAAUCUAAACAUAAGAAAUUGCGUGAAUGUCUACAAAAAAAAAAAAAACACUUAAAUUAGGGUGAUAAAAAAACUUUACUUGUAUUGAAAUACAUAACCUUUGCAAUUUUUCAAGGGAUAAUUUCUGAAAUCUUCCCUAACAUUUCUCUUAAUAUCACUUAAAACUCCUUAGAUUUUGAAAAUUUCAUUUACCAUUCUUAGAUUGACAUUUUCUUUGUAACAUUUUGGCCUUUUUGGAGGAAAUGCAAGAAGGAUAAAAUUUUUGUUCCAAUAAUACCCUUAUGUUAUUCUACUUAUGACGCUUACAACAAUAAUGAAAAAAAUAAAAAUAUGUGUAGUUAUCGAUGCAAUGACGGGUCAUUGUGGCGAUAUACAAUAACUAUUACCUAGUAUAAUGAAUGAUAUUUUAACCAAAAAAAUGGUAUUCUCCUAGAUAUUUUGAUCAUAUUUUGAUGAAUUUUUUUAUUCCUAACUUAUUUAUAAAAUUCUUUAUAUGUAGAAUUUAUGUCGCAAAUGACACAUAUGAAGAGAUUAUUGUAAUUUCAAUAUAAUUUAAAUUACAUCAUGUAUUACAAUAUAUUUCCUAUAAAAAUUUGUUGACUUCUUUAUAAGUAUCCCGCAAAAAGUAUCAAGGUAUUAAUUACUUAGAAAAAUUUAUUUAAAUGCUUGACUUUGACUAAAUUUAUUUUGCCUACGUUACUACCUGCUUGAUAUAAAGAAACAUAGAUUAAUAUUAUUGUAUAGCAAUUUGAUUAAUUUGUACCUAUAUUUUUUGGUUUAAAUUUUUUUUGUUUUUUUUUUUGGUUAAAUAGUUAAGAAGGGUGCAAGGGUAUUGUUAUCAAUUUAUAACAUUUAAUUGGGAUAUUUGAUUUUAUUAAAUUGGUAAGAGAGGCAAGUGAUAUUUCAAAACCUCGGAGAAGUUGAGUGAUAUCACUAGAAAUAAAUGUGAGAGGUUUCUAAAAUUAUCCCAUUUUCCAUUCUAAAAUAUGCUUGUCGGAACUAUGUACAACUCUUGUUUAGCAUCGAAAUGCAAAUCCGGUAUAAUCCAGAAAAGUCAAAUAAUUAUUGUCGACCCCACCACACCACCUUGAUCUUUCAGUCUCUCUAUACUUGCGGAUACGAUUGCAAGUUUCUUACCUGCAAAUAUUUGCUUGUCUUUAUUCUGCUUCCUGACUCCUCCGUAUUGCUCUCUCCGUUGUUCAACAAUGGCUGCAAACUCACCUGAGAUACUCCAUGACUUCUCUCCCAUGAUCCGUGUAUACAAGGACGGCCGAGUCGAAAGAUUAUUAGGCAAAGAUAUUGUAGCUGCAUCGGUGGAUCCAGAAACCGGAACUGAAUCAAAAGAUGUCCAAAUAUCACCAGAACUAAACAUAUCUGCUAGGCUUUACCUGCCCAAAACACCUCGACAGGAUAAAAAACUUCCUCUUCUAGUUUACUUCCACGGUGGAGGCUUUGUGGUCGAAUCUGCCUUCUCUCCUCCAUAUCACACGCACCUCAACGCAGUAGUUGCAGAGGCUGGUGUUGUCGCAGUUUCAAUUAACUAUAGGCUCGCCCCCGAGCACCCUCUACCUACUGCUUAUGAAGAUUCUUGGAUUGCAGUCAAAUGGGUUGCCUCUCAUUCGAAUGGCCAGGGUCCUGAGGUAUGGCUCAGGGAUUAUGUUGACUUUGAUAGCGUGUUUUUUGGCGGGGAUAGUGCUGGUGGCAACUUAGCACAUAACAUGGCGUUAAGGGUUGGACUGGAGAAACUGGACGGCUUCAAUCUUGAUGGGAUUUUUC
rnacentral:lncRNA from 1 species